rnacentral:rRNA from 1 species
UUCUGUGGCCAUAACACCCUGAACAUGCCCAAUCUCGUCUGAUCUCGGAAGCUAAGCAGGGUCAGGCCUGCUUAGUACUUGGAUGCGAGAAAUAUAAGGUUCCAGUUU